AAUAAUGUUGUGUAUUCUUAUAUUUUUUAUCCAAAUUUUUAAAAAUAUACUAUCACGAUUCAUGAAAUAACAUCUUUUAUAGAAAUAUCUAUUAAAAAUGACAUUUAAAAACAGAUGAACAACUAUUUGGAAAAAAUGGAUUUGGAAAAUCCGACCACCCACAGCAAAUUCGUGUAGGCGUUGCAUCGGUGCUCGGCCGAGCGCGAAUAAAAUAGUGAGGGAGAACCGGUACUCUUCAAGAGUCGUCAUUCUAUUCGAAACACUUUCUCUGGAUCGUCAAUUGAUCCUGAGGACACGAUUCGAUCCAGUUCAAUGGUUAUGUUCACUGUUCCAUUAUUUUUCAUUCUUCGAUGUAUAAAUAUAUAAUUCGUUUAUUUCAAUUUACGUAUAUUCUUAAUAUUGUAAUUUUAUUGAAAUUUCCAUUUUGAUUGAAACGGAAUUACAAAAUGUUUUUGAGAAUUAAAUAUUAUACGUAUAUAUAAUUCAAGUGAAAUAUUGAACAUAACCUCAACGGAAAAGGAUUAAUUAAAAUCGAAGACGAAGGAGAGUUCACCCGGUGCACAAGGCUACGAUAUUCCUGUUCCUUUUGUCCGCACGGAUCGCUGCUUGGAGCAGCCGAGCUGAAAGUGCCAACGAUUAAUAACAUGAUACGCACGCAGUGAGGAUCUCUCGUACUCGCCAUUAGUCGUAGCCGCGCUCUUAUCGCGGCACGGUCUCUCCACGGUUACGGUCACGAUUUCGGAGACACUGGUGCGCAACCGACCGUGUAAUUUACUGCGAAUCAGCGUCAAUUUAGCGAUACUCGACUAGAUCAUCGCCAACCUCUUUUAUCUAUUCUGUUCGAGUAGAUAGAGCUCAUUGGAAUUAUGAGAAAAGUGUAUUAUUGGAACGAGUUUUUAAGAGUAAUAUAAUUAGAAAAGAGAGGAAACAGAAAUAAUAUGAAAUCGUUAGUAGCAAGAUACCAAUGAGGUAGAAAGGAAAAUAUAAGGUAACAAGGAAGUAAAACGGAAAUCAUAUUGCAUGCGUCUAUCUCUAAACUCUUCUUCUGAUAGAGACGAGCGUACAUAGGGAUUAAAUCGUGUACGAGGCUCCACCUAUGAAAAGCAUUGCGCUCGACCGCUUGCAAGUCUAAUGCCACGACUUUUCAUGCAACAUUGUGAGGAGCGUAUGUAGCGCUUCCGUAAUAUUACUUCAAAGAUUAUACGGAACAAGAUACUUUUAUUAAACCAUCCGGGACAGAAAUCUCGUCAGCGGUCGUAAACUUCAAAGUACCGACGAUAAGAACCGUGGGGGACACGAAUCGAUAUCAAGGCGGUGUCCUAUAGGGAAAUUCUCUUUCAUGGAAUGCGGACUCAUUGCCCGGCGUUAUAAAAUUAAGCAUCGCGUUUCAACAUGCAAUCGCGCUGUAUGCUACCAGUUUCUCGCGAUGAUUCGUUCACAGGAGAAUGCAAGCUGAUUGCCUGAAACAUUAUGACUGUGGUAUACAGGAUGAAUAUUUGCUGAUUUUUAAUUUAAUAAUUUUUAUCUAACUUAUCUCUGUUGAUUGGGAAAAUCGAAUUAACUCGUUAUUUAUAUUGUUAAUAUUUUUAAUUUUAUAAUAAUUAUACAUACAUAUGUGUAUGUACAUAUAUACAUUAUUAAAAUUGAGGUUAACACAAGCAUAACUAUAUUAAUUAUGAUUAUAAAUGAGAAUUAUCUACUAUAUUUUCGAUAUAGUAGAAUCAUCGAAUAGAUCAUUACAUUGUGAAUUCAAUCGAAGAUCAGGUUUUAAUACCUCGAACGUGGGAUUAGGACAGUGAAAUGUUGCACGUUAUGGCACUGUCUGGGAAAGGAUCAUUUUCGUUACGUAAUCGCAUUGAGUAGACUAGCUUUUGCACUUCGUCUGUGUCACGGAUAUGUCGGUCCACUGUUGGAUUAUUAACGCCUAUUUUUCUUGACAGUUCUAUAGUAAUUUGUAUAACCUGAUGUCAUAAUGUGAAACGUU